rnacentral:rRNA from 1 species
CACUUCUAAGGAAGGCAGCAGGCGCGCAAAUUACCCAAUCCUGACUCAGGGAGGUAGUGACAAGAAAUAACAAUAAACCGGCUUAUGCCGGUUUAAUUGGAAUGAGUACAAUUUAAACAUCUUAACGAGGAACAAUUGGAGGGCAAGUCUGGUGCCAGCAGCCGCGGUAAUUCCAGCUCCAAUAGCGUAUACUAAAGUUGUUGCAGUUAAAAAGCUCGUAGUUGGAUUUCUGUGGGGACGGAGCGGCCGGCCGCAACACGCGGUUCGAGCUAGCGCUUUCCCUACAUCCUGCCGCGAACCGUGCUACCAUUAAUUUGGUGGCGCCGGGGAUCGGCUCGAUUACUUUGAGAAAAAUAGAGUGUUCAAAGCAGGCCACAUGCCUUGAAUAAGUUAGCAUGGAAUAAUAACUAAGGACUUCGGUUCUAUUUUGUUGGUGUUCGGGACUGAAGUAAUGAUUGAUAGGGACAGUUGGGGCGGUCUGUAUUCCAAAGCGAGAGGUGAAAUUCUUAGACCUUCGGAAGACAAACAGCUGCGAAAGCGUUCCGCAAGGAUGUUCCCUUUGAUCAAGAACGAAAGUUGGGGGAUCGAAGACGAUCAGAUACCGUCGUAGUCUCAACUAUAAACUAUACCAGCUAGGGAUCGGCCAACGUUAUUUUAUACCGACUUGGUCGGCACCUUAUGAGAAAUCAAAGCAUCUGGGUUCCGGGGGGAGUAUGGUCGCAAGGCUGAAACUUAAAGGAAUUGACGGAAGGGCACCACCAGCCGUGGAGCCUGUGGCUUAAUUUGACUCAACACGGGAAAACUUACCAGGUCCAGACAUAGUAAGGAUUGACAGAUUGAUAGCUCUUUCUUGAUUCUGUGGGUGGUGGUGCAUGGCCGUUCUUAGUUGGUGGAGUGAUUUGUCUGGUUAAUUCCGAUAACGAACGAGACCUUAACCUGCUAACUAGUUUAUCCCAUUAUAUGGUUUACAACUUCUUAGAGGGACUAUGAUGCGCGAUAGCACAUGGAAGUUUGGGGCAAUAACAGGUCUGUGAUGCCCUUAGAUGUUCUGGGCCGCACACGGGCUACACUGGCGCCUGCAACGAGCAUAUCAGCUGGCCCGAGAGGGUCUUGGCUAAUCUUUUGAACCGGCGCCGUGCUUGGGAUUGACCUUUGCAAUUGUUGGUCAUGCAACGAGGAAUGCCUUGUAAACGCGAGUCAUCAGCUCGCAUUGAAUACGUCCCUGCCCUUUGUACACACCGCCCGUCGCUCCUACCGAUGAAUGUUCCGAUGAAAUUUUCGGAGAGUGCCUGUGAACUUGGCUCUGCCUUGCGAACGGGAAGCUCAAAGUCACUUAAAUCUGAAC